rnacentral:rRNA from 1 species
UACAGAGGCCCCAAGCGUUGUUCGGAUUCAUUGGGCGUAAAGGGUGUGUAGGUGGCGCGCUAAGUCGGGUGUGAAAUUUCGGAGCUUAACUCCGAAACUGCAUUCGAUACUGCCGUGCUUGAGGACUGGAGAGGAGACUGGAAUUUACGGUGUAGCGGUGAAAUGCGUAGAUAUCGUAAGGAAGACCAGUGGCGAAGGCGGGUCUCUGGACAGUUCCUGACGCUGAGGCACGAAGGCCAGGGGAGCAAACGGG